GCAUGACCAUUUUCAAUCGGGAAAAUGAGAAAUUGCACCCCAUCUAUGUAUAUAGAAGUGCAUAAAAUGCAUUCUACUGUCAUGUAUAACUAAUUAAAACAAAAAAAAUAUAUAAAAAAGAGUGAUAUUGAAAUGAAUCUGACCUCACUUCCUAUGUACAUAUAUGAAUACACCACAGUAAAUCUCAACAACGGUACAUCCACAAGACUGUUAUCCUAGUUCUGUAGAAUCUUUACUUAGCUUAUGUUUGGAUAAUUUAUCCUGUGAUGAGAAAGCUAUGUUAAAAUCAUCAGUGGUCUACUUGAUUCUGAAUUUUUUUUUAGUUAUACAUGACAGACUCUAUUUUCAUAUAUUUAUACACACUGCAUUAAAUCUUAUUCUAAUUAGUUUUGUUUCUUAAUAUUUAGAAGGGGGAGAGGAGAGAAGAGAAGCUAUGAAGGGUGAUUUAUGUUAAGGUAGAAAGGAGAAUUAAAUGAAUUGGUUUUAUAUGAGAUAAUAGUGGAUAAUACAAGAGAGUGAGUAAGAAGUAAGAGAAGAAGGAUAAACUAGAGUUGGGAAGACAAAGAUAGGGAGAUUGAUUACAAUUAAUGCUUUAAGUCAUUAGAUGAAAUCCAUUCAAAUGUUUUGGAGGCACAGUGUUGGCUAUUGGGUUAACAAUUAUUAAUCAAGCUAACAAGUUAUUUAUAUAAUCAAAGUUGUUUAUAGUCUCAGAGGGUACACUAUUGAGUUGGCUGAUUCUAACAUUGUGGAAGUCCAGGCUGCAGGCUCUGAAGUCCCCCUGUGUUUGCUGUUUUUCACCAAUGUAAUCACUCCCCUCUGCUAUAUUCUUUCAUGGUAAUGAAGAUCCUGGUAUCUGUCUCUGUGUGCAGGAACACUGGUUGUGAUUUCUUCACAGGUGUUCUGUAGCGUGUGCAGCAUUACCCCUGCUGCCUCUGCUCUCUGAGGUGCUGUAGUAAAGGAUCUCUGGUGAUUCACCUGGACUCUAAUUUCCACUGCCCCAGGUUGUUAAUGUGGGUGCUGAUUCCCUUCGCCUAAUAAGUCAGGUGCAAGGUCCUGCACGUAUCCCAACAAUGCUCUGCUAGUUACCAGUUGUGAUCAAGUUCAGGCUGUGCACUUAUUCACGCUGGUAUUUGGUGCUUUCUGCUGUGUAGCCUCUGGCAACUUACUGAUGGGUCUGCAUAUUAUUUCUGGUAUGGUACUGCCAUCCUGGGUACUAUCCCGGUGCUUCUCCCCAGUGCUAGUGGUCAGGGUCUGGUGAAUCAAUUUUCCUUUGUUGGGGCCAAAACUGCUUUGUUGUGGCCUCCAUUUGGGUCCAGGUAGCUUUUUACCCUUGCCUGGGUCAUAGAGAUUUAAGUGGGGUAGACUGGCACUUCUCUUGGCCCAGAUUUCCACCAACCUGCUACAUUUCUCUUGUUUAC
rnacentral:lncRNA from 1 species